rnacentral:rRNA from 1 species
UACGUAGGGGGCAAGCGUUAUCCGGAUUUACUGGGUGUAAAGGGAGCGUAGACGGAAUAGCAAGUCUGAUGUGAAAGGCUGGGGCUUAACCCCAGGACUGCAUUGGAAACUGUUGUUCUAGAGUGCCGGAGAGGUAAGCGGAAUUCCUAGUGUAGCGGUGAAAUGCGUAGAUAUUAGGAGGAACACCAGUGGCGAAGGCGGCUUACUGGACGGUAACUGACGUUGAGGCUCGAAAGCGUGGGGAGCAAACAGGAUUAGAUACC